rnacentral:tRNA from 1 species
AAAAUAAUGGCAGAUUAAUUGCGUAAAAUUUAAGAUUUUAUUAUACAUAUGUUUAUUUUA